AGAAGAUGAAGAAGAAGAA
rnacentral:sRNA from 1 species